rnacentral:rRNA from 1 species
AUGAAACACGAGUUGCUGGCCUGCUGCAUGGAGGAGGUGAGGCGAACCCAGUCUGUUCCUCCCUUCAUUGCCCAGUUCAUGGAGAUGGUUGAUGGCAACAACUGCUUCGAAGUCCACCACUGUGAGCUGCUCAAGCCGUCUGUGUCGGUUGCCCUGCUCCGCCGUCUCCCUUUCCCCUUCUGGCGACCCCUCCCUACUUUAUGCAAUUUCUUGAAGGAAUACGAUGACAGGGAGGAGGGCCUGCCUUUUCCUCGGAGAGGAGGUCGACUGUCGGAGUCUUUGUGUGGAAUGAAGCGAAACAGCAGGAAGGAAAUAGAGCGGGUCGUGUGUCAUCGUACACAGUCUGCCUUCCAUUGUGUGAGUACUUGCACUUGGAUCGCCCAAUUGUGUGUGCACAGCAGGUGA